GACUGCUCACUCGGUAGAGCGUGAGACUCUUAAUCUUAGGGUCGUGGGUUUCAGCCCCAUGUUGGGCA